GUGGGGAAUCUUGCGCAAUGGGCGAAAGCCUGACGCAGCCAUGCCGCGUGAAUGAUGAAGGUCUUAGGAUUGUAAAAUUCUUUCACCGGGGACGAUAAUGACGGUACCCGGAGAAGAAGCCCCGGCUAACUUCGUGCCAGCAGCCGCGGUAAUACGAAGGGGGCUAGCGUUGCUCGGAAUUACUGGGCUUAAAGGGCGCGUAGGCGGACAGUUUAGUCAGAGGUGAAAGCCCAGGGCUCAACCUUGGAAUUGCCUUUGAUACUGGCUGUCUUGAGUACGGGAGAGGUGAGUGGAACUCCGAGUGUAGAGGUGAAAUUCGUAGAUAUUCGGAAAAACACCAGUGGCGAAGGCGACUCACUGGCCCGUUACUGACGCUGAGGCGCGAAAGCGUGGGGAGCAAACAGGAUUAGAUACCCCUGUAGUCC
rnacentral:rRNA from 1 species